UGACAUCUGUCUUUCUUCAACCAGAGAACCUUUUAAUUUUCUCCUCUUCUUUCUUCUUCUUUUUUCUCAGAGAAAAAUAUGGCUUCCCAUAAGACUAUCACCGUCUCCACUUCUGAUAACUGCGCCAACGGCGAUUCAUUGCCGGCGAACUCGCCGAAAGGCCAGUGCCUGUGCUCGCCGACGAACCAUAAAGGAUCGUUCAGGUGCAGGUAUCACCGUACUCCAACUUCUGGUAACACAGCAAGUGAAUGGUUCAAGAGAUCAAAAUCCAUGCCUGUUAAUAAGCACAAUAAUAUAUCUCCCAAAUCAGUUGAAUCUACUUAAAAUAUUGUAAUUUUGAGUGGAUAAAUGGAAGAAUAUAUGGUUUUCUCUUUUUCCCCUCUUAAAAUAUGUAUAGUUUUUGAUAUUGCAAGGAACUUUCUCUCUUCUCUUC